rnacentral:misc_RNA from 1 species
UGUGGAGAAGGAGACUGAGAAGGUCGAUAAGAUGGAGGUUGAGUUGGAUAGGCAUUCUGGUCUGAAACAGACUGUACAAUUUGAUAAGAGCGCGAGUGUAGGAGGAAUGGAGGAGUAUGUGGUUAAGAGGGGACUGGAUAUGUUGGAGGGUGCUAAAAAGGCCGAGAUGGAAGAGAAAUGGAGGCAGUUGCAUGUUGCUGAGUUGGAGC